CCGCACCAGAUACAAGCCCGACAGCCCGUCUCCACCCAGACGGCCGUGGCUGCGGGGCUCUGACGGUGCCACAUCAACUGGCCCUGAGAUUUAAGCUGUACAGUGGGGAGUUUCACUGUAGAGUUAUGACUCGAGGGCACAGAG